UAAGCCCCUGCAUGUGUAGCAGCAGCAGGUCAACAACAGCUUCACUGCUGUUGCUUGUCUUCUCAUGUAUGCUGUGUAGGUAGAGCUGUAGUUUUUUCUUCUGCAUCUUUUCUUCUGUAGAUGUAACCUUUUUUGGACUUUUUUCUCUCUUCCUCAGUACAGUUUCUCAAGAUGUGAGGAAUACUGGAUUACAGUAUAUUCAUACCCUGACAGAAAAUGGGCUAGGAUCCUGCCAGUGCCUGGAACUGAGUAAAGCUACUGCCUGGAAUAUAAUCCUGAGGAA
rnacentral:lncRNA from 1 species